ACCAGGUACGGUGACAUGACGCCAGAGACAAUCACAGGAAAGAUAGUCGGCGGUGUUUGCUCGCUCAGUGGUGUGCUGGUCAUCGCGCUUCCUGUUCCUGUUAUAGUCUCAAAC
rfam:Biomphalaria glabrata isolate BB02 linkage group LG17 unlocalized genomic scaffold LG17_random_Scaffold1201, whole genome shotgun sequence.